CACGUAGGGGCCAAGCGUUGUCCGGAUUUAUUGGGCGUAAAGAGCUCGUAGGCGGUUCGACAAGUCGGGUGUGAAAACUCCGGGCUCAACCCGGAGACGCCACCCGAUACUGUCGUGACUGGAGUCCGGUAGGGGAGUGGGGAAUUCCUGGUGUAGCGGUGAAAUGCGCAGAUAUCAGGAGGAACACCGGUGGCGAAGGCAGGUCUCUGGGCCACUACUGACGCUGAGAAGCGAAAGCAUGGGGAGCGAACAGG
rnacentral:rRNA from 1 species